UGCGAAUUUGGCCAAAUGUUAAAUCGAUAUGACGUAAAUAAAAUGUUAUGUUGGUACACAAGCUCGGCAAAACAUAUGUAUGUAAGAGAAGGAAAACUGCGGACGGAAUCGAACAUUAAAUAUUUUUAAUUGUAUGAAGCAGAAUUGUAUUAAAGAAAAGUGGAAUUUUGUAUGAUGCCUGUGGAAAUCCCUAACAAAACAAUAUAACCUGGAUAUCGGCACAAGUUAUUAGAGAAAGUUAUGGAUCAAUUGCGUCCAUUUUUUGGUAAUGUACCCUUGAGAUGUUUGGCUGACGGUGUAAUAGGCCAACGUUUGGCAAAGACUGAGUAUAUUACGAUAAUAUCUAUCUCCAAAGGAAUGUUGCAUAUUUUGGAAUUGUGUUUUGCUUUUACAGAAAUAUUUAUGGGCUUACCGACAGAUAUUUUUAUAAAGAAAAACUGUAACGAUCUCUUUUUGGUUCAUACUGUUAGAUGAACAUAGCUCUUAUACCCUACGUAACAUGUUGCGUGGGUACGGAAACCAUAGAGACAAUUAAUUUGCCACAUAUACCGUUACAGUUGCUUGGCCGAUAUUAUCCAUCUCUUUGUACAACGUAUUGAGGUUUACUACAAAGAAAGCAGCCUUCGAUAUUAUGAGAUGUCCAAAUUACCCCUAAUGAAUUAUUGGAAGAUUUGGUUGAUUUCUGAAGAACGACCUUUACCAGAAAUUAUUAUUAUCCACUCCACGCCCCCGGUUACAAAUUAACUACAAACUUUUUAUUUACUCUCCUUGUCGAAGAUGUACGUAGGUGUCACGACCAGUAUAUAUCUCUUCCAUAGAUUAAAAGAGACUUGGAGGAAAACGUUUUAGAUACUGUGUAGUCAAAUAGCCGAAACUGGACCUGGUCUUUUCAACGGAGUGGAGGUCUUCUUCUGAUUCCCCCGGUGGGUACCGCGUCGAAUACUCU